CAAGAAGCUCUUGGGGAAUCAAAUGUUGAGGGCAUGAAACUGAAGAAAAGUUUAUUAGACAAGGAAAAUGAACUGCAGAAUCUUUUCCAAGAAAACGAGGAGCUCCGAACUAGGGAAGCUAUUUCUUUGAAGAAGGUGGAGGAGUUAUCUAACUUGCUUGAAGAAGCUAUGGCCAGGAAGCAAACUGAGGAGAAUGGCGAGCUUACAGACAGUGACAAGGACUAUGAUUUGCUUCCAAAGGUGGUUGAAUUCUC
rnacentral:misc_RNA from 1 species